UCAGGAACUUCUGGGAAGGCAUUAGGCCUGGUUAGAUGCUGGUUGCCAUGGAGCCCAGGGCCAGAGGCAGUUUCUGGUCGUGCCUAGGAGCUGUGCAACGCCAGCCCUUGAGGAGGAAGCCAUCUGUUUCUGGAAUCACCCUCCCCGCCACGUAUAUGAGACAUAUCCUUGAUUGUCCGUGAAAUCAGGUGGUCCAGGGCCAGGUUGGUCCAUAGAGCCUCUGACUCUGCAACACCUCACCCCAGGGUGCCGCCAGCAUAAAGACAGAAGCCUGCAGGGCUCAACAAGGAGAAGGGGCAAAGUGAAGAGAAUUCGGGAAGCUCGUGACAGCAAAAUCACAGGUCAUGGAGUAAAGGGAAGACGAAAUUAGAAAGGAGGUUUCCUAAUUUGGGACAUUGGGAAGAUAUCUGGCAGAAAAUCUGCCUCAAGCAGGUUCAUCUGUUUAAUUAACCUGAGGCCAGUGACUGUUUUGUUGUUGUUGUUGUUUUAUCCAUGAAAUGUGACCAGCAUGAAAAAUCUGAUAUGCAUAUUUCAGAGGACAGCCCCUGUGACAUUCGUCAGCUUAUUAAAGGAAACAAUAUGCCCUAAAACGUGAAAAGCCACUUCCUUGAAACCAAGUCGAGGGGGAAUGGUAAACCAAAGUUAGCAGAAAUAGAAAAGUAGGGUGUUGGUCAGGAAAGACUUCCUAUAGAGAUGUGCCUGUCAGAAAGAUUACUAUUCCCAUCCCGCAUGCUGGAGACCCAUGUGGCAAACAGUGUGGCAGGGACAGACUUUGUUUAAACGAAGGAAUUUGCACUGAAGAUCAUCUUCCGCAUUUUUAUAAACUUUGAAAGCAGUCAGUGGUCUCAGCAUUUUCCUACAAAGGCCAUAUCCCCACGCGUACAUUUGAAUUCUCAAAAGCUCUUUCUCCAAAAGCAUUGCUAAUAAAAAAUGUAAAAAAAAAGAAUUGUCAAAGGGGCCUCUAGAGAUCAUUUGACUUGGUUCAAUAUCUUUAGGCUUGUGAGUAUGUAAAACUAUCCAAGACACAAAGUUAUCAAGUCUUUUUGUUUUGUUCUGUUUUUUUUUUCCUCCCAUUAAAGCAUUCUAGAAACAAAGACCACUGCUCUGAAGCAUUUACUAUUCUGAUAGGUAAUGUGCUCUUAUAGUCACCUGAGGCUGUUGUUAUUCUUGUGUACUUCUAUGCUGCUGAUUAAUUUUCAAAAGCACGGUACAGAGAAAGGGUGCUCAACAUUACUAGUUAUUAGGGACAUGAGAAUUAAAAUCACAGUGAGAUACAGUCUGUCCUCUGUAUCUGUGGGCUCCGUACCUGCUGAUUCAACCAACCAUGGAUCAAAAAUAAUCCAAACAACAACAAAAAUAAUACAGAUGCAAAAGUAGGGAAUAACAACUACUUACAUAGCAUUUACAUUAUAUUAGGUAUUUUAAAUAAUCUAGAAAUGAUUUAAAGUAUAUAAGAUGAUGUGCAUAAGUUAUAUGCAAAUACUAUGCCAUUAUAUAGAAGGGACUUGAGCAUCCUUGGAUUUGGUAUCUGUAGGAGGUGGUCUUGGAACCAAUUCCCCAAGGAUACCAAGAAACAACUCUACUACUACAUGCCUGUUAGAACGGUUAAAAUUAAAGAGAUUGAUUUUACUGAGUGUUGGUGAGGGUGUAGAGAAGCUGGAACUCUCAUGCCCUGCUGGUGGGAAUGUAAAAUGGCACAACCACUUUGGGAAACUAUUAGCAGUUCUUUAAAAGUUAAACAUAUGUCUACCAUAUGAUUUGGUCAAUCCACUCCUUGGUAUUUACCCAAGAGAAAUGAAAGCGUGUGUUCACACAAAGACUUAGAUAUGAAUAUUCAUAAAAGUUUUAUUUGUAAUCAUCAAAAACUGAAAGCAAUUACAUGUUUGGAAUUGAAAUGUAUGGUAAUAUAAUACAAUAUAAAUGAAUGGAUAAAUCGUGGUAUAUCCAUGCAAUGGAAUACUACUCAGCAAUGAAAAGGAAGAAACUAUUAAUGCACUUAAGAUCAUUGCUGAUUUUCAAAUUAAUUAUCCUGUGUAAUAAAGAAUUUGGCCUUUGUCCCCAGUUCCUGGGAGAUAGGCUCUAAAUCCUUGGAAUUUUCCAAGUCGAAGAGUGUCUUUUUUACUGGUGGUUGGCCUGUCAACCACACUUGAGUUUAUGCUAAUGAGGUGACUCAUGAUGGGACCUUACACAAUUUAUGCUAAUGGAAUGACUCAAGAUGGGGGCUGGCCAUGCCAGAAAAACCAACCAUGUAUUUAGAAGGUUGGGGCUUUGAGCUUUUGAUAUAGGCCUGACUUCUGGGGAGAGGAGCAGGGCUGAAGAUUGAGUCAUAGGCCAGUGAUCCAAUGAGUCAUGCCUAUGUGAUGAAGCCCCUAAUAAAAACAAUGGAUAUCAAAGCUCGGCAUAGAGCACAGUGAUUAAAAUCUCAGGCCCAGGAACCACCAGGCUGGAUCUGAAUACCAACUCUGCCACUUACUAGCUGCGUGACCUCAGGCAAGUUACUGAACCUUCGGUUCUGCCAUCUGAAACUGGAGAUGCUAAUGGUGACUACGUCCUAUGAUUACUUGAUGAGCUAGUACGCGUACACCACGUACCUUGUUUAGAACAGUGCCUGGCCUAGAGUGACCACUCAAUAGUUGUUAUUUGUUUCACUGCAAAUGGAAACAUUUGGCAAAGAACUGUUGAGACAAAUAGAGCUGGAAAGGACAACCGAGUAAACAGUGCUUGGUUAACCACAUCAGAAUCACUCGGAGAUUGCUCCAAAAAUGCAGAUUACUGAGCCCCACCUGUGAGAUUCUGGUGGAACCCAGGAACCUGGCUUUUUGCAAAUGCUCCUCCUACUUGGAUCGACAGCCAGACUACCGGCACAGAAGAAAAUGCCCCAAAUUUGGAGUAAGGAAAUCCAGGACUCUGGUAGUAUUUCUGCCAGUGACCCAGUGUGUGACUUCUGAGACUACACUUUCUCAUUUGUAAAAUGCAGAUAACAAAUUUGAUUUAUUCAUAGAGUAGUUGUGGGGGUCACAUUACUAAAGUCAUUUCUGUCGGGGAAGCUGGCUUAGUGGGGUGAAAGGAAUGCAGGCUUUGCAAUAAGCUGGACCCGGCUGUGAGUUCCAUCGUGGAGGCCGCUGCAGAUGUCGUUAGUUGCCAAUUCUAUAUCCAGCCCCCUCUUCCUAACGCAACCCUGAUUUUGCUUGGUGUGUAACUGUGCCUAGUUGAAAAUACUUCCUCCCAGACUUCCUUGCAGCUGGGUGGCCAUGUGACACGGUUCUCUCUGCUGAGGAGUUUCUGGGAAGGCUUAUCUUUCCUUUUUCUUGUUUGUUUGUUUGUUUGUUUGUUUGGAAACAGGGUCUUGCUCUGUAACCCAGGCUGGA
rnacentral:lncRNA from 1 species